AACUGCUACAACAGUCAUAGCAGAAACACUCACAUGGCAGCCCUGUUAGAUUCUAAUGAAUCUGCAAAUUCUGCU
rnacentral:ribozyme from 1 species